rnacentral:rRNA from 1 species
ACCACGCAGCGAGUCUUCCUUGUCCGAAGGUCCGGGUAAUCAUUGUAAAUGUGUGUCGUGAUAGGGAUAGAUUAUUGCAAUUAUUAAUCUUGAACGAGGAAUUCCUAGUAAAUGCGAGUCAUCAGCUCGCGUUGAUUACGU